GUUUGAAAUGCCUUUCUUUCUGAUAUGAAAUGCAAACUUGUAUAUAUUCUACUAGAGCAAAAUGCACAGCUCUUCUGCCUACCACUGAUAAAUCAAGGCAAACAAAUUAUGCAAUGGGACCAUUCUGCAAAUCGUGCUCAGUGGAUAGCAUGUAAAAGGAGCAUCAAGGCAACUCUGCAAGGAAAAUCUUCAGACUGAAUUUUAUUAACUAAAAUGGAUAUGGGGCUGCUGGGAUAUGAACAUGCCAUUCUGGGGCAAACUAAUUGCCUGUUCAGCAACUAAAAGCAAGAUACCUUUGUUCUGUGAGUUACAAUUCCCUAAAGUACACUGCAGUAGCAAAGUAGUAAUUACAAUGUAGCAUGUCUUAAAAGAGCACCAUUAUAGAUUUCAUGAGGAAAAGGAUAACUUAGGCAUUUCUGUUCACUAGUUAAAGCAAAAGAUUUAAAACAUCUUCAGCAUGUAUGUUUUAUGAAUAUAAAGUCAUGUUCAUGGAUAUUUCUUAUGUUAAAACCAUGUUUGAAGCCUACUAUUUUCAGACUGCUACCAGACCGGGUUAUAAGCUAUUUUGUGCUGCUGUCUACAGUCCAAUAAUCUAAAACACAUUUUUAAUUUCCCUUCCCUUCCCUUCCCUUCCCUUCCCUUCCCUUCCCUUCCCUUCCCUUCCUCCAACAAAAAUACUGUCUCAACAGAAUGGAAUGACUCCUGGAUGAGGUGGCCAGUAUNNNNNNNNNNCCUUCCCUUCCCUUCCCUUCCCUUUCUCCAACAAAAAUACUGUCUCAACAGAAUGGAAUGACUCCUGGAUGAGGUGGCCAGUAUAAAUUAAAGCAGGGUCCUUGACUGAAGUGAAUCACAAUGAAUGUUCAGAAAAGAAUGGUGAAAAACAGAAUUGUGAGGAGAUGGAGGAAGCCAGGCAGCAAAUACAAAAGAAUAUGGGAGUAAUACGUUUCUGAUGUGCAAAACAGAGUGAACAUGGUUACAGCAUUCUGGAAAUUAUAAACACCUUAGAGAGUUAAGACUACCUCAUAAAAGGGAUUAGGUCACUGCUUGGGGAUUAUUUAUAAAUUAGAUUCUAAUUAAAAGGUCAAAGAAAGAUGAAUAUAUGUUUUAAUAAGCAGCUCUUUAUUGCAUAGUCCAUACAUCAAUAAGUUGUUUAUAAUCACUUAUUGAUAGCUACAAGUGUGCUAUAGUUAUUUAUUUAACUCAUGAAUACCACUGACAAAUAGAUGACAAUUUUUUAUUUUUAUUUUUAUUUUUUUUUUUACACAGUAUAAAACUGCAGAAGGAAGCUGGAAAGAAGCAAGGUAUAAAUUAGGAUUUUGACAUUACUAAUAUGUAAUUAUGUGUAUAUAAUAUGUAUAUAAUAUGUUCUGGUUUUGACAUCAGUAAAUAAAGGUAACUUGCACAGCAAAUCAGCAAAUAUGCUGUGUUGAGUUAAUUUUUUCAUCUCUCCUAAUAACUAUGUAAUUUUCUCAAGUCUCCAUGGCACAUACUUUUUGAUUUUUUCAUUAAAAAAAUAAUAAUUGUUGGUCACAUAACACAUUAUUAGAAGAAUUGUAAAGAAGGAGGAGAGAGAAGCAAUUUUAAUAAUGCCACAAAUUAUACUACUACUCCUGAAUGUUUGUGUUGGAUUUCAUAUGAUGCAUGAGAAUCUGACGUGUCCUGUGGGGGCUAGUUUACAUUUUUUAAUGAAGGGUUACAGUACUCUGGACCAAUAGUUUAUUUAGUUUUGCACAAGUGAGGUAAAUAUUUAUUAAACAUUUGACUCAUUGCAUUUUGUGGAACCCUUGCACUCCAAACCUGUAUGAUUCACAGUAUACCAAAAGCAAAUAUAAUACCCCUAAAUCACACCUGCGUAUUAAAAGAAAAUCUGUCAGUGCUUUUAUUCCCAGCUCUUUACCUUGUAUCACGCAAGAGAAAAAAGAAGCAAGCAAGAAAGCAGGCUGCUACUCAGAAAUGAAUUCACUGGGUUCUUUUGUUAGGAAGUGCUUGUCUGGAUUGGCUAGGCAAAUAAUGAACUUGAGUAAACAUGCUCUUGGUUUUUAGAACUUAUAGCCCCUGAUUUAAAGAUAAAUAAAUAAAUAAUACUAAUAAUAAAAUAACCACAUAUUACCUCUCUCUUGUGUGUGUGCGUGCUAGAAAGGUACAUCAGACCAGUGGUGUAUUCAGAUUAUAUAUCUGGUACCAUGAUUUCCUAUAUACAGCUUAUAUUUAUAUUGACUUUAUUCCAAGACUUUAAUUCCAAGACUUUAUUCCAAGAGAUGUCAGUGACAAGAGUGUACCUCAGCUGAAAGGUUAUUUCAGAGACUGACCCACUCCCUGCUGGAGGUGCUAGAUUCAGUAAAGGGUGCAUGUGUCUCACUAUUCCAUUAAAAAACAAAAGUCACUAGGACACGUAAAAGGUGUCCCUUGAUCCCAUCAAAAUUACAGGAUUUUUGCUCCCAUUGCUCCUAAAGACCUUUAAAGUAGACCUUGCUAAGCUUAUGAGAGGCACUCACAAACUGCUUGUGCUCAGAACCCUGCACAGAUUUCCAGAGUGACAUUUCUGUGAAGUAAAUUGGCAGCUACAGACAUAUUGUCUUUUUGCUUGUUUGCUUUCUGGUCUUCUUUGUCUCAAAUUCUUCCCUGCACAGGGACAUGAUUCCACAAUACAUGAAUGAAAAUAAAAGUAGCUGAUAACCUAGUGGUAAUUUCAAUAUUUGAGGAGAUGAGUUUGAAUACCUGUGUGCUAGACACACAAAAACUGUGGUCUUCCAUCUCCUACUUCAUCCAUCUUUUAAAUAAGCAUGUAUGCAAUCUCAUUUUGUGUUGAACUUGAACAGAUUGUGCUAUAGAAAUACUUUCUUGAGACUCUCUCUAAACAAAAAGUACAGAGAUUGUACAGUUCAAGUGGUCUGAAAGUUAUGCAGUGUUAAUCAGUUCUGUGCUUCGUAAUUCUGUUUUCAAAUUUGGCCAUAGCUGUCUUUCUAUUCACUUUUGUGACACUUGAUUGAUUUUGUUAUUAACAUUAGAAGUCCUGGGAUCAGAUAUUUCUGUGUUGAACAGACAUACAUCAACACAAUUCUACUGAAAUGUACAUUGAUUUGCAUCAGUGUUUUUAGUUUAGAAAAAUGUUUACAUUUGGGGGUUAACAUCUCUCUAUGUAUAUAAGAUAGAUAAAAAUGUUAUUUAUAUAUAUUUGCAUUUUACUCUGAUAUAAAUGAAUGUAUAUCUUUAUCUUUCUGAUACGUGACAUUUACUUAUAGAUCUGCAGUUACGUUCUGUCUCCAGACAAAAACUGUAAAGCCAGCUUUUCCUGAGUACAAGGAAAUCCAUCUUGAAACUUUAAUUACAGAAUAAUCUAUCAAUGACAAAUUACCAGAGGGUGGAUAUGUCACUCACAGUGUUGGCAUGUAAUUUCAGAGAACACAACUGAAAUCACAGGAGAUUAACAGAUCUGAGUAUUUGUUUGCACUUAACAGACAAAGGGAACAUAACUGAUAUGAAGAAAUUUCUGCAUGGUUUCUAUAUUAAGAGAUUAGUUGGAAAUUUCUUCCCUCUUGAAGAAAAAGCAGGCACCAGAGUGAGUCUACAUCUUUUGCAAAGUCAGUAGAAAUUCUACUGAAACAAGUAAUCACUUGACUACUAGCUUUUUUAUUAUUAUUAUUAUUUUUUAAUUGUGUAAAGGUUCUUGAAGUCUCCACACUGGAUGAAUUCCUCAGCAGCUUUUUAUUUGUCUAACGGAGACAGCUCUUGCAGCCUCAUAUCAGUUUCUCUUUUAAGAGUGUGUUUGACUGGAGAGGCUUCUGUGAGGAUAUGAGAAGUAAGGGUGUUUUUUUCUACAGUUAUGUAAUUUAAAUAAUGAUUUUAUAUGUCUUGUAACUGAUCGGGUGCAUGUGCAUUUUCAAAAUAGUGGUUCUAUGUAGAGUUCCUAUAUAACUGUCAUUUGGGCUAAAGAUUAUGGUAUAUUCUGUAACAGGAAAUGCACUGGCAAAUAUUGUACAACUAUUUGUUGUAAUGUUUUUCACUUAGCUGAUUAGUAAAAGCUCUUAAAAAAAUAAAAAAUAUAAUAAAAAAUAAAAUAAAAAAUAAUAAAAAAAUAAUAAAAUAAAAUAAAAUAGAAUUGUUCAGUCCCCAAUUGUUCAAUCCCCAUGAAAUUGGGAUAUGUUGUCCGUAGGUUAUUAUUAUAAGGCCUGUAUCAAGACAGAUUUCAAAUGGGAUGUACAGGCUACCAUUAGAAGUAAAAAUUAUUUUAUUUGACUUCACUCAAAUAUAUGAACUAUGAAUAAUCUCAACAUUAGGUCUUCCUGCUUAAGAGAAAACACUGGCACAGUAAAAGUCUUGUUGAACAAUGAUUACCAGUUCUUUACUUCUUCUGUACAGAGCAUAGUUUUAACUUUAUCUCAUCCAGGAAAGUCUCAUAAAUCAGGUGGAAC
rnacentral:lncRNA from 1 species